AUCCUUUUGUAGUUCAUAAGCAUGACGAUUGCGUUUUCAUGUGCAUGCGUGAGAUGUGCCUCCCACAAAUCUUGUUAGGACGUCAGCACAUUGCCCGUCUGACA
ensembl:snoRNA